rnacentral:rRNA from 1 species
GAUGAACGCUGGCGGCGUGCCUAACACAUGCAAGUCGAACGGAGUCCAGCCUUUAAGACCUUCGGGUCAAAGAGGGGAAGACUGAGUGGCGGACGGGUGAGUAACACGUGGGCAACCUGGCUCAUAGAGGGGGAUAACAGAGAGAAAUUUCUGCUAAUACCGCAUAAGCACACACUGCCGCAUGGCAGAGGGUGAAAAGAGAAUCGCUAUGAGAUGGACCCGCGUCUGAUUAGCCAGUUGGCAGGGUAAGAGCCUACCAAAGCGACGAUCAGUAGCCGAUCUGAGAGGAUGAACGGCCACAUUGGGAAUGAGACACGGCCCAAACUCCUACGGGAGGCAGCAGUGGGGGAUAUUGCACAAUGGGGGGAACCCUGAUGCAGCGACGCCGCGUGAGUGAAGAAGUAUUUCGGUAUGUAAAGCUCUAUCAGCAGGGAAGAUAAUGACAGUACCUGAAUAAGAAGCCCCGGCUAACUACGUG